GAUGAACGCUGGCGGCGUGCUUAACACAUGCAAGUCGAACGAAGCACUUUAUUUGAUUUCCUUCGGGACUGAUUAUUUUGUGACUGAGUGGCGGACGGGUGAGUAACGCGUGGGUAACCUGCCUUGUACAGGGGGAUAACAGUUGGAAACGACUGCUAAUACCGCAUAAGCGCACAGAGCUGCAUGGCUCGGUGUGAAAAACUCCGGUGGUAUAAGAUGGACCCGCGUUGGAUUAGCUAGUUGGUGAGGUAACGGCCCACCAAGGCGACGAUCCAUAGCCGGCCUGAGAGGGUGAACGGCCACAUUGGGACUGAGACACGGCCCAGACUCCUACGGGAGGCAGCAGUGGGGAAUAUUGCACAAUGGGGGAAACCCUGAUGCAGCGACGCCGCGUGAAGGAAGAAGUAUCUCGGUAUGUAAACUUCUAUCAGCAGGGAAGAAAAUGACGGUACCUGACUAAGAAGCCCCGGCUAA
rnacentral:rRNA from 1 species